ensembl:lncRNA
GUGCAGCCUCUGUGCUGCCGGGAGAGGGAAGCGAAGCGAAGGGCUACUGAAACAAAAGGUUUCUCGUGUUGCAGGCUGAGCGAGGGCUGCAGCAGAGGCUCUCAUCGGCCCGAAGCGGUGAGCUCGUGGAAGCGGUGAGUGUUCGAGAGUCGCUCGGUAAGAUCUCUCGUGCUGGGGCUCCUGUAGGGUUGCUGCUCGACUGCCUCUGUCUUUGGGAUCGGCACGGCGCCGCCGCUGGGCUCCCGUGUGGCUUUUUUAGUAGGACCGGCACGGGGCCUCCGCCCGAGACCGAGCACGAUCCCGGGGUGGCCUCGGCCACUGCGGAGUGUUUUGCGGGUGCUCUCACCCAUCCCGUUUCCAGCAGUGGGAGCGAGCAGGUUGGGACCGUGGUUUUAUUUUUUUUUUUCCCCCUCCUCUUCCUUCCCGUGUAACUGCAGGAGCACGAUUUAGGUUCCCAUCGUGGAGACCUGGCAGGGCAGCUCGCACGACUGGAGUGCUGUCGUGGAUGGCUCUGUUCCUUUUAGGAAAGACAGACCGGUCAGGCGGUGGAGUCUCUCUUCGAGGGAGAGAACGGGAACGUAUCGAGCUCCACCUAGGGGUGAAUGAAGAACCAGCGGAGCGUUUGUGCGUGAGGCUGAAGAGCUGGAAAUGGUGCCCACAGCUGUGAGGCCAGUUCUCAUGGUAGGCUCCAGGAGUUUCCUGCAAUGUGUCAAAGGUAAGAUCUUCUGACACAGGUGAUGAAGGAGGCAUUGAGGAGAGGGGCUGCUGGAGCUCCCUAUUGCAGAAGAGCCAUUUGGGGACAGGAAGGCCAGGGGCAGCCUGGAGCGUGCCAGUCGUGAGACCACAGCGUUUGGGAUCUUGUGUGGAAGCUGCAAAGCAAUGAGUAGGAUUGAAACACUGGACUUAGAGGGAGCCAAGUUUGUCCUCUUGAAGGGCCUACUUGGAGGUAACCCUUGCUCAAGCAUAGGAAGGGGUCCUGUGAAUGCUGGAGCAUUACUUCGUCCAUGCUGAGGUGCGCUGUGUCCCAAGGAGGAAGGAACUGCGCAGGAAUGGUGGGGGACCUGCAGGGCUGACUGAGGAACUUGAAGGGGAGAAGGAAGAGAGAGGCUGAGGAAGGCCAAGUCCCUCUGAGUAUCAGCUUUGGGAGGGAGGUCAAGGCUAAUGGAAGUUUGUCAACAGGAGAGACUGGAGAAAUUGCAGGCCUGCGCUUUACAAGGCGGAGGCCUCUUGGGUUCAGUGGUUUCUGCUGAGAGUGCUCCUGGGGAACCUGGGGUCCUGGAGGAGAGAGUCCCUGAGGAAGGAUGUCUUCCCCUCAGUUGCGGAGGAGCUGGUCAAAGGUAGUUCAGGCAGAAAGGAGGCCAGCAAAUGCCUGAGCUGUAGAGGGCUAUGUCUGUGCCCGCUGAGAGCUGGCAGCGGUGACUGGCAAUAGCUCUGUCACUUUUCCCUGCUGUUUCCUGUGGGAAAGGUACCUGAAGACUGGAGGAUGGCGGAUGCCACCGCAGCCUUCAGAAAGGGUGUGGAGGAUGGCGUGUGCAACUUGGAGGUAGGUUGGCCUCAUGUCUGUUCCUGGGGAGGUGACGCAACAGCUUGUUGCAGGUGUCAUUGCCAUGUGACCGGAGGAGAAGGAAUUUGCAAGGAGCAGUCCAGGUGGAUGGACAGAGGAGAAGUCAUGCUGGACCAAAAGGGUGAAGGCUGCAGAGAGGAUUGGCUGGAGCAGGUGUGCAGUUUUCCCAGCGGUGGGAUGAAGGAGGUGAGAGAGGGGGAGCCCCAGGCGGGAGCCCUUGUGGUGGAGGGCUGCCCCCAGGAGCGCCCCCUUGGAGGUGGUUUGUGGAGGUCUCUGUGCAGGUUCAGGCUGGAGGCAGGAUCCUGGCGGUGUGAGCGGGGCGCCCCUGUGGAGCAAGGGUGGAAGGUGCGUGGCAGGUCCUGUCCCGGAGGAGUGGAGUUAAGGGUCCUGGCGUGGCUGUUUUCCUGCAUGGAAGAUGUAGAUCCUGGGAGCUGCGAUGAGGAGGAGCAGAGCCAGCAGUGGCUCCUGUGUGGCGAUGGCUGCUUUGUGUGGUGCUCCUGGGCUGAAAGGAGGAGGAGAAAAAAGUUUUUAGUGUGGUUCUUCAAAGCUCAGUUUCCCUUCCCCAAGAAGCUAUGGGGAGCUUCUAGGUCUAAUGCUGUUCCUCUGCUUUUGAGCUGAAUUUCUGCACGGCAGCCUUUCUCGAAUGCAGUAGGGCUUCCCUGGCUUGAAGAUGGGUGUGCUGUCCUGAGGGAGGAGCAGUGUUGGCUGUCUUACAGUGACCUUCUGCUUUCCUUUAAGAAGAGUCCACUAAGAACUGUAUCGGGUUUUUCAGUAGGAGGCUGUCACUGGAACACACAGGAACAGUCAGAGCAAUUACUGAAUUGGACUGUCUGAGCUGAAAGUUGAUGGUGCAUCCCUCUGGUAGAGGGAAUGCAAAAAAGAGAGGUCUCAAAUCAGUAGUGAGUUUAUUGCUGAAGAGCAAAGAUUUGUAUCUCACCCUAAGCUGGGUGUUCUUCACUGCCACAAGCCCAGUCAUUUCACUAUACCCAUGUUCUGCCUGGUACCACUCUGACUAACAACCAGAAUGGCUGAGCAAGGAGUACUGUUUGCAGCUAGGAAGCCGAAAACAGCCAAAAAACCCUUCUGUUGCUUCCUUGUGUGUUCUGGGGGGGUGCACAGUCAGAAGAGAGCUUCCACCAUGCAUACCAGUCCUUAUAAAGUAUCUUUCCUUAUGAGCACCAGUACGGACUCCCUUUCACUGUCUCUUUUAGCUGGAGAGCUGGGCUGUGCAUCUGUGUUCCUCCAUCUACAAUGAGAAGAAAGGAUUUCCUUUUUUUUUUAAUUUUGUUGUUGUAACAAGUAACAAAUAAAAUUCAAGGGAGCUUGGCAACUGUGUUUGACUGUGAGUGGUUCCAGAAGUCUGACCUUUGUUCUUCUGUCAUUCAUAUUGAACACUGAUCCCUAGGUGCACAGUGCACAAGGAGGCUCUAACCUUCUCCAGUUUCUACACUCACUUGAAGUAAUUAUGGCCAUAGUCAUUUCCCUUCCACAUCAACAUUGGUUACUGUACUGAGCAGAUAAAUCCCUUCCCCCAAACCUAUGUGGCUGCAUGACAAACCAUGGGGACUCCAUGUGGAAAUAACAGUAAAAAUAAGCCAUCCAGGGCUAAGAGGAGGUCUUUCAAACUUGAUGUGAUAUGUCUGUUCCUCAGGGGUUCGUAUGGUCUUGUGUACUGGACACUGCAAAAAAACAGUAGCAGAAGCAGUGAAACUAAGGGAAGAGGAAGGUUUCAGAUAUCACCUUGCAAAGCUCAUUGCUCACAGCAUAAGCUCUUCAGACUACCUUGACACACGGGCCUUGGAGAAGUCAGGCACAAGCGCUUAUCCUUCUAAAUGCCUUUCCCAAGAGCUGAGACCCCACAAACUUCACACACCUAGCAAAAGCACACAGGAAUGGGUCUCCAAGGAGGAAAAGCGAGCUCGCCUGUCAGUACUGCCAGAGAAGACAGUGGUGGAGACUGUUGGGCUGAUGCCCUCUUGUGUUGUUUUAAAUGCUAGUCCGCUAAAGUAGGAUGAUCAAACAAAUGUACAUUCCUAAAGUCAUCCUCUGACUCACUGAACCCUCUUCUCUAUUUUUCCCCCUCUAAGUCAGAGUAUUUUACUUUUUUGUCCUAAACAAAAAUUAUCUAGGAAAUAUCCUUUUUGGCAGCCCAAAUUGUUAGCAGCACAGACCAUUCUCUGCUCACAGAAGCCUUAGUUCUAU